UUUGUACAUGAUGACAACUGGCUCCCUCUACUGAACUGUCCUUUUGUCCAUUCCUAAAUCACUACUCAAUCAAGUCAGAUUCAGCAAA
rnacentral:snoRNA from 1 species